rnacentral:rRNA from 1 species
UACGGGGGGGGGCAAGCGUUGUUCGGAAUUACUGGGCGUAAAGGGCUCGUAGGUGGCCAACUCAGUCGGACGUGAAAUCCCUCGGCUUAACCGGGGAACUGCGUCCGAUACUGGAUGGCUUGAGAUCGGGAGAAGGAUGCGGAAUUCCAGGUGUAGCGGUGAAAUGCGUAGAUAUCUGGAGGAACACCGGUGGCGAAGGCGGCAUCCUGGACCGACACUGACACUGAGGAGCGAAAGCCAGGGGGAGCAAACGGG